rnacentral:rRNA from 1 species
GACGAACGCUGGCGGCGUGCUUAACACAUGCAAGUCGUACGGUAAGGCCCUUUCGGGGGUACACGAGUGGCGAACGGGUGAGUAACACGUGAGUAACCUGCCCACAACUUUGGGAUAACGCUAGGAAACUGGUGCUAAUACUGGAUAUGUGCUCCUGCUGCAUGGUGGGGGUUGGAAAGCUCCGGCGGUUGUGGAUGGACUCGCGGCCUAUCAGCUUGUUGGUUGGGUAGUGGCCUACCAAGGCGGCGACGGGUAGCCGGCCUGAGAGGGUGACCGGCCACAUUGGGACUGAGAUACGGCCCAGACUCCUACGGGAGGCAGCAGUGGGGAAUAUUGCACAAUGGGCGCAAGCCUGAUGCAGCAACGCCGCGUGCGGGAUGACGGCCUUCGGGUUGUAAACCGCUUUCAGCAGGGACGAAGCUUUUUGUGACGGUACCUGCAGAAGAAGCACCGGCUAACUACGUG